rnacentral:rRNA from 1 species
GUGGGGAAUAUUGGACAAUGGGCGAAAGCCUGAUCCAGCCACGCCGCGUGUGUGAAGAAGGUCUUCGGAUUGUAAAGCACUUUAAGUUGGGAGGAAGGGCAGUAAGUUAAUACCUUGCUGUUUUGACGUUACCGACAGAAUAAGCACCGGCUAACUUCGUGCCAGCAGCCGCGGUAAUACGAAGGGUGCAAGCGUUAAUCGGAAUUACUGGGCGUAAAGCGCGCGUAGGUGGUUUUGUAAGUUGGAGGUGAAAUCCACGGGCUCAACCUGGGAACUGCCUCCAAAACUGCAUGACUAGAGUACGGUAGAGGGUAGUGGAAUUUCCUGUGUAGCGGUGAAAUGCGUAGAUAUAGGAAGGAACACCAGUGGCGAAGGCGACUACCUGGACUGAUACUGACACUGAGGUGCGAAAGCGUGGGGAGCAAACAGGAUUAGAAACCCUAGUAGUCC